UCGGAUGUUUCAAAUCAGUUACUCUCGAUGGACAAAUCGUCAGCGGUGUGGCCCUUCUUCCCGAUGUUGCGGUCAUAUUAAUAAAUGGAAAAGAAUUCCAAUUUCUAAAACAGGUUCAGCGAACAGAGAAAAGGAUAAAACCGGUGGAGGAAGCUCUGAGGUUCGUUUUAGGACAACAUGAUCCUGAAGAUAUAUGCGAAAAAUAUAUCAACGAUUUUAUAGGUCGAGGUGUUUUUGCCAAAAUAAAAUGAUCAGAAAUGGAAAAUUCCUUGCGGAAUACCAUGGCGUUUUAUCCAAUGCUGACGACGUGAAGGACAAAGAUACAAACUACACAUAUUUCCUUGACUUUAAUGGUGUCAA